UUGUUUCCACAUGCUGAAGUACUCAAUGUUUGAGCAUAUACAAGGAAUGUUUCCACAGAACAUGUUUUCUGUAGUAGGUUUUUAUAAGCAGGAUUUUGUCCCCAGAAACCUUUCUAGAAACAGAACUUUGGUACUCAGGUGAUACUCUAUGUGCUGAAUCUAUUAUUGGUGCCUCAUGUGUCUCUGGAAAAUACAGAGGUGGGCUGUAGCCUAGUCUGUAGAUGCACUGGAGGAGUCUCUUUCACGCAUCAUAAGGAUGUUCUCACUGUAGAUAUGCAUGGAUUGUUAGUGAUUGCUGGGUGAGACAGCAGCACAUUAAGAGCUCUCCCAAGAUUUGCCACUGACUGUACUCUUCCAUUAUUUUCACAGGGAAGCAUUUAGAGAAACCUUGAUUCCACCUCAAUGUUUUUAUGCGCUUAAAGCAAUAAAUAAAUUGGUGCAGCUUUUUUUCUGGCUACUUAAUAGGCCGAAGUGCUCCAUCCACAUGCUGUCCUCCCAGGAACUGCUGAUAGACCAGAUGGAUGAGACAGCACCGUCUGUCCGCUUGGAGACUAUCCCACACAAGAUCAAGACAGCAGUUGUGACAGAGCUUAUCAAAAAUGAGUUGCCUUAUGGAACUAUCAAUGGAUUAAUAAAAAGAAUCUGAUCUAAUAUUCAUGACACGGGAGACAAAUGUAAACGGCCGGGCAACUUCGUCUUUUUAUUGUUAGUGAAAUGUUGUUUUUUUCAUAACUUUUCCUUGUAGAUUUUGUUUUCUCAUUUCGUAACUGCUUUAACAAAAGAACUGUGCCAUCAAUUCUGCUAUAUUGCAUUAUUCAUGUGAAAGUAUAUACACCAAAUUCAAUCCACAAAGGGAAGAAAUACAAAGGAAUUUACUAUAUUAUUAUUCAUACAAAAACAAGAAAGCAUUCAAACUCAUGCUGCCCCGUUAUAUUUAUGACCCAAUAAUAUUUUUCAGCUGCGUGGUUCUGAGUGUCCAAUGCAUCCCGCUGCCCCAUGACUUUAAGAAAUCUUAGUAUCUAAUUGCUUAUCUGAAUUACCUCUAUCACUUAGACUGCUAGUUGUAAUGAAAAUCGUUAAUUUAUUGUAAAGUGAAAGUAAAGUAGUACUUGUACAAAAGAAUGAGCAUAGCCCUGUUAGGUUCCAAAGAUGCUUACUGAAAGCUGGUUUGGUGCUGAUGGUAUUGAACUUAAGAGAGCUUGGGAUGAAGUGACCUGUGCUCAGCCCCAGAAGCGCUCCCACCCAAAGUAAGGCCCUGCUUGUUUCCUGCCCUCGUUUACCUGUUACGUGCUCCAUUCCUACUGGUGAAGCAGUCAGCAGUAGUGAAUGCAGAGUUUAUCCUAGAAGCCUCUCGAUCUCAUCUAUCUGCGUGCCUGGAAGUUAAUUGAAGUCUGUGUUUCAACGCUGUAUAAUUUGCAUGCUGGUGCUUAGUAACAUUUGCAGAUCAGAUUCUCGUUUUGAGAAAAACAGCACGGAGACAAGGUAGGCAGCUUUGCUGCACCUGGAGUUCCUGCCCUAGAGAGGCCACCUCAGUGCCAGAGCUGCUGUUAGGGUACAGUGGAUGUGACAUUAAGCUUUU
rnacentral:lncRNA from 1 species